UGAUACUGCUGGUCGGAUGCAGGUAAUUUUGUUAGCUGAUAUCUUGUCACUGAGGUUGACUAGUAUUCACCAGUGUUAUAAAAGGGUGAUGUAUGCUUUGCUGGUAAAGAAAAUUUUCUGUUGAUUUCUUUUUCAAAAAGCAGUCAAACCACUUUCAAAAUACAAAUUUGAAAACAUGAUUAGGUAACUUGAACAGAAUCAAUAGCACCUAUUUUAGAUGAUAUAUCCUAAUUAUCUUGGACUUCAGAAAAUGGAUCCCCAGAUUAACCUCAAUUGGAUUGUGAUUAAGACUGGGUUGAGUAUUAGGCAGUGGAUAAAACUCGUGCACAUUAAUUUUCUUCUUCAUUUAGUCAUUAUGAUUUUGAUGAUGCCCUUGCCAUGCAUUUCAGGAUAAUGAACCAUUAAUGAG
rnacentral:misc_RNA from 1 species